UCCUGGCUCAGAACGAACGCAGCGGGCGUGCCUAACACAUGCAAGUCGAACGAGAAAGGGGGCAACCCUGAGUAAAGUGGCGCACGGGUGAGUAACACGUGGGUAACGUACCCUCGGGUGGGGAACAACGAGCCGAAAGGUUCGCUAAUACCGCAUAAGACCACGACCUCUGCGGAGGACGGGGCCAAAGGGGGCUGUCGUGAGGCAGCUCCCGCCUGAGGAUCGGCUCGCGGACCAUUAGCUAGAUGGGGGGGUAACGGCCCACCAUGGCUACGAUGGUUAGCUGGUCUGAGAGGACGACCAGCCACACUGGAACUGACACAUGGUCCAGACUCCUACGGGAGGCAGCAGUGGGGAAUAUUGCGCAAUGGGCGAAAGCCUGACGCAGCAACGCCGCGUGAGUGAAGAAGGCCUUCGGGUUGUAAAGCUCUGUCGGAGGGAAAGAACAGGGUGGGUGACCCUCACCCCUGACGGUACCCUUAAAGGAAGCACUGGCUAACUCCGUGCCAGCAGCCGCGGUAAUACGGAGAGUGCAAGCGUUGUUCGGAAUUACUGGGCGUAAAGCGCGUGUAGGCGGCCUGACAAGUCCGGCGUGAAAGCCCGGGGCUCAACCCCGGAAGUGCGUUGGAAACUGUCGGGCUUGAGUACUGGAGGGGAUGGUGGAAUUCUCGAGUGUAGAGGUGAAAUUCGUAGAUAUUCGGAAGAACAUCAGUGGCGAAGGCGACCAUCUGGACAGAUACUGACGCUGAGACGCGAAAGCGUGGGGAGCAAACAGGAUUAGAUACCCUGGUAGUCCACGCUGUAAACGAUGGAUGCUAGUUGUCGCGGGUAACCAACCCUGCGGUAACGAAGCUAACGCGAUAAGCAUCCCGCCUGGGGACUACGGCCGCAAGGCUAAAACUCAAAU
rnacentral:rRNA from 1 species